AUGUACAGCCGGACGCGCCCGGGGUUUCUACAAGAAACAGCCAACGAACGGCAAAAAAAAAAAAAAGCCUUCUCCGGGGAAAAGGGGGGGCCGUGGGGGGGCGGGCGUGGUCGCCAGUGGGGUGUCAUGGCCGCCGGGGUCAUCAUUGGGGUGUCAUGGCCGCCAGGGUGUCAUGGCUGCCAUUGAGGUGUCAUGGCUGCCGUGGUCAUCGCUGUGGUGUCAUGGCCGCCGAGGUGUCAUGGCUGCCGUUGAGGUAUCAUGGCUGCCGGGGUGUCAUGGCCGCUGUGGAGGUGUCAUGGCUGCCUUGGUGGUGUCAUGGCCACUGGGGUCAUCGCUGUGGUGUCAUGGCUGCCAGGGUGUCAUGGCCGCCUUGGUGGUGUCAGCGCUGCCUUUGGGGUCGUCACGGUGAGCACCACGAUGACGUCACACCAACCACGAUGACCUCAAGCCAACCUUGUUGACCUCUCACCAACCACGGUGAUGACCACGGUGACCACCACGAUGACCUCACACCAACCACGAUGACCCAACACCAAUUAGGAUGACCUCUUGCCAACC
rnacentral:lncRNA from 1 species